GUUCAUGUAGUUGAAUACAACGAUAGUUUUUCAAGCUUUUGGUCUUGGUUAAAUCCCGAGCAUGAAUU
rnacentral:tRNA from 1 species